rnacentral:rRNA from 1 species
UACAGAGGGGGCGAGCGUUAAUCGGAAUUACUGGGCGUAAAGCGUGCGUAGACGGUCAUGUAAGUCGGGUGUGAAAUCCCCGAGCUCAACCUGGGAACUGCAUUCGAGACUGCUUGGCUAGAGUGCGGAAGAGGGAAGCGGAAUUUCCGGUGUAGCGGUGAAAUGCGUAGAUAUCGUAAGGAACAUCAGUGGCGAAAGCGGCUUCCUGGUCCAGCACCGACGUUCAGGCACGAAAGCGUGGGGAGCAAACAGG